GAUGAAGAACGUAGCGAAAUGCGACAAGUAAUGUGAAUUGCAGAAUUCCGUGAAUCAUCGAAUCUUUGAACGCACAUUGCGCCCGCUGGUAUUCCGGCGGGCAUGCCUGUUCGAGCGUCAUUUCAACCCUCAAGCCCCCGGGUUUGGUGUUGGGGAUCGGCUCUGCCCUUCUGGGCGGUGCCGCCCCCGAAAUACAUUGGCGGUCUCGCUGCAGCCUCCAUUGCGUAGUAGCUAACACCUCGCAACUGGAACGCGGCGCGGCCAUGCCGUAAAACCCCAACUUCUGAAUGUUGACCUCGGAUCAGGUAGGAAUACCCGCUGAACUUAAGCAUAUCAAUAAGCGGAGGA
rnacentral:misc_RNA from 1 species